rnacentral:tRNA from 2 species
GCAGAGGUACCCGAGUGGUCAAAGGGGGUGGGCUCAAGUCCCACUGCAGAAUGCUUCGCAGGUUCGAAUCCUGUCCUCUGCACCA